GACAGGGAGGCUGGAGAAGAAACAAAAACGAAGGGGGGACCACACGAUAUGGCCGGGGUUUUUUUUCUCUUAACCUUCUUCCCAAGCAACUAAUAGGGGGACUCACUCCAAAAAUACACAUACACAGAGAACGAAAGAGGAAGAGAAAACGGGGAAAACAAAAAUAAAAAAUGGAUCUAGGAAUAGAUAUAGAGAGAGGAAGCUUAGAAAGUGAUCUAGCUUUCACCUUCUUUGUUGCUUCUUCUUCUUCACCUUUUUCCUCCACCUUAAACCGCCAUAGAAAAUCCGACCCAGUAGCUCCCCAAACCACCAGCGAAACAGAGCUUCCUUUCCUCCACCAAAAGCUCUACUAAACAGCCAUUCAAACACCUCCAAAACCAGCUCUAAAAAUCAGUCCAUAUCCACCCAAAAAUAGUACCAAAACCACCCCGAAGCUGUUGUAACUCCGUCGGUUUGGUCGCUAUUGCUUCAGCUAUUCAACCAUCAGCGAAGCGUCAUCCAUAACAGCCCUAAUCACCUUCAUAACAUUAGAAAAACAACCACUAAAUCACUGGUUUGCAAGGUUGAUCGAGAUUGCAAGUCGCAAUUUUCCUUUUAGGCUCCGUUGCCGGUUUGAAGUUCCAAUCAGUAGCUCGUCUGAGUGUCGUCGUUUCUUUGGCACACGCUCCUUUGUAUACGUCGCAAAUUCAGCAACAAAGGUUCAUUUUUCUUCUUUUACUUCCAUAUUGUUAUUAGCUCACUUUAUUAUUCCCUCUCAUUACUUUGUUUGUUCUAUGAAUGAUAGCAUGAUAGAGUUAAUCUAUGUCAAAUUAUUUAUGAUGGAUGUCCAUAAGUUGCGUUGUUCUCUUUGCUGUGUAAGUAGCUAGAUCAACGAAUGCUUGAAGCUGUGAGUUUUGUUUAUUUACACGAUAAAUGUGGGCAUGAUAAUUUGGAUAGUUUGAUAAAUCUCUUUUCUAAUUCAUUUGAUGUUAUCUUAUCUGAUCAAUUGUGUUGAUAGGCUACUGUAUCAUUUUGAUAUUUGAGAGAAUAAUAAUGGGGAUUUUCAUUUAGUUUGCGAAAUAGAAUGGGCCAUACUCUUUUAAGACAAUCUGUUGGGUUUUAGGCAAACUAGCAAAGGAUUGGGACUUAAAUCAAUUUAGUUGGUUAACGUUUUCAUGGGCUUCUAGGCAUGCACUCUUAAAUUAAGAAUUGGUCCCUUUCCUCCGUAACAAAUGGGAGAUUUGCAUCUAUACUCGCUUUUUGGGUCAUGUUUUAACUUAUAAUUGCUUUGCAAAAAUACAACUAUACCCACUUUUUGCGUAAACUUCAGGCAUACGGGCCUGAAGUAGCAAAGACAAUCACGCAAACUUUAGCAUUUUAGUAGAUGGGCCUGAAGUUGUUUGUAAUUGUUGAACUUAAGCAUUCUACUAGCUGAAGUUUUGUUAUCUAUUUGCUGAACUUCAACAUGUUUUCGCUGAAGUUUUGUUCUAUAUUUGCUGAACAUAGUUGGUUUAUGGACCAUAUUUAAAGUCACAAACUUGUUAUAGGCCUACUGCCUCAAAGAAGCUUUCCUUAAACCUGAUGUGAUCUUAUUAAAUUUGUAGCAGUAGCUUGGAAAAUUUCAUAAAUUGCACCAUUUAUGUUCAUCAAGUAACACUGCAAUUUACAUUACUAUGUACACUCAGGCCAGCAAUAUUCGAGUCAUGGGAUGGGAUUCAUUGGCUUUAGGCACAUUGUGCUGAAAAUUGCAAUCACAAUAUCAAAAUCAGGAGGUCCAAUGCUAUAUCAUUCGCAUACAGUAGACGAUGAAGAUCUCUUCCUUCACAUAUCUGUUUUGCCCUCAUCGUACAGAAAGAAAAGCAAGAUUUUCUUUUUUCCUUUAUGUGUAUGUUCACUAUACAUAAUUCCACGCUACAGUUUUCCAAUGAAAAGAAAGGAGGAAGGAGCGCACAGGUAGCAGGAAGAAGGAAGGGCCUGAAGUUGUAAAAAUUACGAUAUAGGUUAAAUAAUUUUAAAAAUAUGGGUAUAGGUUAAAUAGGG
rnacentral:lncRNA from 1 species